GCCUGCCCAAUGGUUGUAUCUAAAAGCGGUUGAUAAAAGUCGACCGCGUAAGGACAAUUGAAUGGCCGCGGUAACACUGACCGUGAUAAUGUAGCGUAAUCAAUAGCCAAUUAAUUGUUGGCCAGUAUGAAUGGCGCCACGAAGGCCCCACUGUCUUAAGGAAAUUCCCAGUGAAAUUGAAUUUGUAGUGAAGAUGCUACGUCCAAUUUGUUAGACGAAAAGACCCCGUUGAGCUUUACUGGGGCACUUACACGGCCCCGGCCUUCAAGACUGGGUUGAUAAGCCAAGGCUUACCAUACCUAGGGACCGGCCGAAUUUAAAUGGGUGGCUUAGACUAUGUGGCAGCCCCCCCCGUCGGGGCAGAUGAAACCCCACUCCCCCAUGUCAAAGGGGCUAACCCCCCCCCCUUGGGGGGGGACAAUGUAAGUAGGACAGUUUGGUUGGGGCGACCGCCUUUUAGAAAGUAACGAAGGUGCGCUUAAGGUGCGUAAUUAAUGACUGAAGCCUGACUGCGAGGGGGAUACCCCGAGCAGACACCCCCAAGCCCGCCCGAGAAGGCUUUGCCUUCUGGGCGGCGGUGGGGUGGGCCAUAGUGACCCGUUAAUUUAGAGUGGAAUAG
rnacentral:rRNA from 1 species